GAGCCUGCAGGAGACAUCUAGCCCGCUGUCCAGGGCACCUUUUUUUUUCUCCCUAUAUUUCGGUUGCUCGCGUCUCUUGGUGUGGUUUGCCCACGUCUGCAGCGCCAGCAUUCCUUCUGCGUGGAACAUGCCAACCCUCGUCUGCUUUGACUUUGCAAAACUGCAUGAGACCGCCGGGCGCGGUGGCUCACGCCUGUAAUCCCAGCACUUCAAGAGGCCGAGGCAGACAGAUCACCUGAGGUCAGGAGUUUGAGGCCAGCCUGGCCAGCAUGGUGAAACCCCGUCUCUACUAAAAAUACAAAAAAUCAGCCAGUAAUCCUAGCUACUCGGGAGGCUGAGGCAGGAGAAUCGCUUGAACCCAGGAAGCAGAGGUUGCAGUGAGCCGAGGUCAUGCCAUUGCACUCCAGCCUGGGCUACAAGAGUGAAACUCCGUCUCAAAAAAGAAAAAAAAAAAGAAAAAAAGACUGCAUAUGACUCCCCAGUGAAGCCCUCCCUGAUUGGCCUCUGCAGAAGGCAGCAUGCC
rnacentral:lncRNA from 10 species